CCACUUGAACUUCUGGGCUUACUGCAUGUUUCAGAGCUUCUCCAUUGCAAUGUGUCAGAGAAGGGCACUUGGGGACACCUUCACUGGCUUUGCUCUGUCCUGGUUUCAGCUUCAACCAUGACAGCUCUGACAUUCAGAGGAUCACAUUACAUCGAAAUCAACACAGUAUUGGCUAUUACUUAUACCUUCUUCCUACUGGCAUCAAGGACCAGCCUUCAGGAAUGACAGGCCUCGAGGAGCAGUGAGAAUUGAUGCAAGGAACACAAACCCUGGGGUGGGUGAGGAUUAAGUCAGGGAACAUUCAAACAUACUGGAUAUAUAUAAACUCACAGGGCUUGAUGGUUUGCACCUGUCAAGUGCUGAGGGAGCUGGCAAACACCAAUGCAAGAUGACUCUCAAUUAUCUAUGAAAGCUCAUGGCAAUUUGGGAAGACUCCUGAUAACUGGAACAGAGCAAAUCCAGACAACUACAGGUCAGCUGGCCUUGCCUUGAUCCCUGUGAAGGUGAUGGAGAAACUAAUCUGGAAAACCAUUUCCCGUAUUUAGGAUAGGAAUGCCCCUGUACUGGAAUCCAUGGUCAGAAAUGGAUUUGCACCAGGGAAAUCAAGCCUGACUUGACAUUCCUGACCUCACAGCCUCCUAUGAAGAAAUGACUGGCUUUCAAUUCUGUGUCCAAUGACACUGUCUUAGAAAACCGAUAAAGCACAGGCUAGGUAAGUGAUUGGUGAAAUGGAUCAAAAGUGGCUGAUACGGUGAGCUCAAAGGAUUGUGAUCAGCAGCACAAAGUCCUUUGGAAGCCAGACAUUAGUGAUCUACUUCAGGGGUUCAUACUGGGACCAAUAUACUUCUGUCAUUAAUGAACUGGGAUGAUGGAACAGUGGGCACCUUCACCAAGUGUGCUGAUAAUCUCAAACUGGGAAGAGUGGCUGAAACACAGGAUGGUUUUGCUGCCAUUCAGAGGAGCCUGGACAUGCUGGAGCGUGUCCAUUGAGGACCACGAAUAUGAUUAAGUAGUUCCAUCUUCAGGAGUAUCUCUUAUUCAAGAAGAGGCUAAGAGAGAUGGGCCUAUUCAGCUCAUAGAAGAAAAGUCUUUGGAGGCAUCUCAUUAAUGUGUAUAAAUACCUGAUGGUGGGGAGUAAAGAAUGUGGAGACAGAUUCCUCCCAGCAGUGCCUCAGAAACAAGGCAAUGGCCACAAACUGAAAUACAGAAAAUUCCAUUUAAAUGAAAAAAGCAACUGAGGAGAGAUCAAACACUGGAGCAAGUU